rnacentral:ncRNA from 1 species
GAGUAGGAGAUCCGCGUUAAGUGCCUAAGGAUGGGAGGUCGCCUUAGGACGAAGGCUUAGGCCGCGGUGGGUCCCCGCUGCCGCU